rnacentral:miRNA from 1 species
UCCGGGGAAUGGAUCCAGCGU